UGCUUUACACAUGCAAGUCGAACGGCAGCACGAAGAGCUUGCUCUUUGGUGGCGAGUGGCGAACGGGUGAGUAAUAUAUCGGAACGUGCCCAGUAGCGGGGGAUAACUGGCCGAAAGGUCAGCUAAUACCGCAUACGUCCUACGGGAGAAAGGGGGGGAUCGCAAGACCUCUCACUAUUGGAGCGGCCGAUAUCAGAUUAGCUUGUUGGUGAGGUAAAGGCUCACCAAGGCCGCGAUCCGUAGCUGGUUUGAGAGGACGACCAGCCACACUGGGACUGAGACACGGCCCAGACUCCUACGGGAGGCAGCAGUGGGGAAUUUUGGACAAUGGGGGCAACCCUGAUCCAGCCAUCCCGCGUGUGCGAUGAAGGCCUUCGGGUUGUAAAGCAC
rnacentral:rRNA from 1 species